GAAUUCAACUCCUACGGGAGGCAGCAGUAGGGAAUAUUGCUCAAUGGGGGAAACCCUGAAGCAGCAACGCCGCGUGGAGGAUGAAGGUUUUCGGAUUGUAAACUCCUUUUCUAAGAGAAGAUUAUGACGGUAUCUUAGGAAUAAGCACCGGCUAACUCCGUGCCAGCAGCCGCGGUAAUACGGAGGGUGCAAGCGUUACUCGGAAUCACUGGGCGUAAAGAGCGCGUAGGCGGGAUAGCAAGUCAGAUGUGAAAUCCUAUGGCUUAACCAUAGAACUGCAUUUGAAACUGUUAUUCUAGAGUAUGGGAGAGGUAGGUGGAAUUCUUGGUGUAGGGGUAAAAUCCGUAGAGAUCAAGAGGAAUACUCAUUGCGAAGGCGACCUGCUGGAACAUAACUGACGCUGAUGCGCGAAAGCGUGGGGAGCAAACAGGAUUAGAAACCCUAGUAGUCCAGGCGUU
rnacentral:rRNA from 1 species